rnacentral:rRNA from 1 species
CUUAAGUGGGGAAUAACGCAUCGAAAGGUGUGCUAAUACCGCAUAAUCUCUGAGGAGAAAAGCAGGGGAUCGCAAGACCUUGCGCUUUUGGAGCGGCCGAUGUCUGAUUAGCUUGUUGGUGAGGUAAAGGCUUACCAAGGCUUCGAUCAGUAGCUGGUCUGAGAGGACGGCCAGCCACACUGGGACUGAGACACGGCCCAGACUCCUACGGGAGGCAGCAGUGGGGAAUUUUGGACAAUGGGGGCAACCCUGAUCCAGCCAUGCCGCGUGAGUGAAGAAGGCCUUCGGGUUGUAAAGCUCUUUCAGCCGGAACGAAACGGUUACGGUUAAUACCCGUGACUACUGACGGUACCGGAAGAAGAAGCACCGGCUAACUACGUGCCAGCAGCCGCGGUAAUACGUAGGGUGCGAGCGUUAAUCGGAAUUACUGGGCGUAAAGCGUGCGCAGGUGGUUUUGUAAGUCAGAUGUGAAAUCCCCGGGCUUAACCUGGGAACUGCGUUUGAAACUACAAGGCUAGAGUGUGGCAGAGGGGGGUGGAAUUCCGCGUGUAGCAGUGAAAUGCGUAGAGAUGUGGAGGAACACCGAUGGCGAAGGCAGCCCCCUGGGUCAACACUGACGCUCAGGCACGAAAGCAUGGGGAGCAAACAGGAUUAGAUACCCUGGUAGUCCAUGCCCUAAACGAUGUCAACUAGUUGUCGGGUCUUAACGGGCUUGGUAACGUAGCUAACGCGUGAAGUUGACCGCCUGGGGAGUACGAUCGCAAGAUUAAAACUCAAAGGAAUUGACGGGGACCCGCACAAGCGGUGGAUUAUGUGGAUUAAUUCGAUGCAACGCGAAAAACCUUACCUACCCUUGACAUGUAUUGGAGCCCGCAGAGAUGUGGGUGUGCCCGAAAGGGAACGAUAACACAGGUGCUGCAUGGCUGUCGUCAGCUCGUGUCGUGAGAUGUUGGGUUAAGUCCCGCAACGAGCGCAACCCUUGUCAUUAAUUGCCAUCAUUUAGUUGGGCACUUUAAUGAGACUGCCGGUGACAAACCGGAGGAAGGUGGGGAUGACGUCAAGUCCUCAUGGCCCUUAUGGGUAGGGCUUCACACGUAA